rnacentral:lncRNA from 1 species
UGGCAGGUUUGCAACUAUAAAGAAAGAAAUAUCGAAGAGGGAUUCUCUCCACAAAAGCCCAGAAUUUCAUGACUCUGACAUCUGAACAGCUGAAAAUGGACAAUGUGAUAUGGAUGUGUUCAGCUCAAUGCUCAGCACCUACUCCUGUACUUCAGCACCCUGCACGUGUCGUUCCAACAGAACUCUCAGAAAUAGUUUAAUAUACCAAUAAAAAGUUGCAGUGCCUGAGGAAGCAUUAAAAGGAGAGACCUGCUUUGUGUAUACCCAUGCAAAUGAUUUCCUUAGCAGGAUUUGCAUGCAGCCCUGUCUGCAAAAAC